UUGAUUGUUGUAGAGUAUGGCAUGGGAAGUGCGGUAUCUAUAGAAGGAGAUGUGUAUAGCUUUGGAGUCCUCAUUUUGGAGAUGUUCACAGGCAAGAGGCCAAUUGAUGACAUGUUUGAAAAUGGGUUGGACCUUCAUCGCUUCACAAAGGCAGCUUUGGCAGACCAAGUGGAGAAGGCAAUUGAUCCCAUUUUGCUUCAGGAAAUCGAGGAGUUGAAGAAGAGACGGACAAUUGCUCCAGGCAAGAACAAGAGCUGGUGUAGUAUCAAGGAUUGUUUGGUUUUGAUCAUCGAAGUAGGAAUCACAUGCUCUUUUGAGUCUUCGAAGGAGCGAAUGGACAUCUAUGAUGCAUUGACUAAACUCCAAGGAAUGAGGAAGAAACUUCUUGCGUUCAUUGUCACUGUCUAGUUGAUGUCAAAUUUGAACUUCAUAUGGAGUCAUGUGGUCUUCAUGGUCCUUGCUUUUUGGUUUUUCUUCCUUUGUAAUUUAACCAUUCUCUAGAUGUUACGUUUUGUCUUUCAACAAUUUGGUCUUCAUGGUGGGUAUGCACUACUUGUACCUAUAAUUUUAGUAAAUGUUAAUUUUGUUGCGUCAUGCGAACCAAUAAGCUAGGCUACCGAAACCCAGUACUUCAUUCUUUCUUUGGUUCUUGUUUGUGUGUGUGGCUGCUAUUAAUGGUGCCUUUGCCUUUGCAUAAACAAAAGUGGUACACCCUUAGUUGUUCGAUUGGCUUCCACCUGAAGUAUCCUUUGGUCAAAGAAGCUCUAAAAAAAAGCUGCUCCAGUGACUCAUGAUAAUACUGUCAUUAUAAACAAAGUAUCCAGGCUUGGGAGCCCCUCUGCAAGUUUCUUCUAUUGUGAUGAGGAUUCUUUCACAGCCAUGGAAGAAACCAAUUCUUUGCUGUUAAUUAUUGUGUAGCGCAUAAUGAAAUGGGCAGGAUGGUGACUGGCUCUAAUAAUCCCGUCGUGUUGUAUGCAAGUGGUGGAAACAUAUCAGUAAUUGCCUAUAGUGAGAGAAGGCAUCGGAUUUUGGAGACAAUGUGAUAUUGCUACUGCAAACUGCUUAGACAGAUUUGCUAGAAUCUUGACACUGUCCAACAAUUCGAGCCCUGGAUACGUCAUGGAGCAGGUAUGUCACCAGAAAUGCCCGUGAAGAUCUCUACUUUGUCCAUGUGCCCUUGACUUUGUCUUAAAACUGUUAUUAUUUGCACUUCACUUUAUUUUAACUAAUUGAUUUAUUUUUUAUCUUUCUAUAAGUAAAAAGGAGGAUGUAAGGAUCUCAACAUGAAAGUUGUGGGAAACGAGCAAUUUUUUUUUCACAAAUGUGAGAGCAAGAGGACAAACGCUAUCAAGAAAACCAGCCAACACAUUUUUCAUUGAUGUGCAAAUGUCGCUCUCUAUUUUGCUGUUGCCUCUUGCUAGAGUGAUGUGAACUGAUGAUGCCAAAUGCGGAUACGGAUUAAUGUUUGUCAAUUUCAGUACUAUGAUGUUUCAAUGAUGUGCAAACGUAGCUUUCUCUUGUAUUUAUUUCCCUUGGAGAAUAAUACGAAAAUGUUGUUUCAUAGAGUGUUUCGACCAAAAUGGUAACUAGUUUUAGCUUUGAUAGUUAAGAACUCUGUGUAUGUUCAUAGCAGAUGCAGAUGUUCAUCAUCAACUCAUCAUUAAACACUUGAAUUAAUUGAAUUUUAAUAUUCUCAUUACAAAAAGAGUCAACAACAGUUACAACUUUAAUAUGUGCUCAAAGCACGCACAACACUAUAAGAAAGAGAAGAUAACGGAUGAGUUUACAAUGUAGUUAGACCUCCCACUGAUCACGUGCAACCUACAACAACCAAUCAAAGUCCUGUCACAUCUUGCUACAUUAUUUAUUAUCCAUGAAAUUAACAAACAUCUAAUAGAAUCCUCUCUUUUCUCUUCGUUGAAGGUCAACUUCAAUCAUUUUUCACAAGAGGCCUAAAAUGAUUUGCUGGAAGUGAUUAUCACCAAUGGGGAAUCAAUCCAUUGGAACCAUCUGAGGGGUUUCUGUGAGUUCUCAAAAUGGGAUGAUGUCGGAAAGAAUUUGAAGAAAUUGCAAUUUCCUUACUACAAUAUUAAGAGAAAAGAGCAUUGUCAGUACACUUAGUAUUUCCACAUCAAGCGAUAAAAAACGGCAUAUAAAGGAGAACUAUAACAGUUAUAUCUAGAAAACGCGGCAAUAUUCAAUGAGCUAAAACCAACAUAGCAAAGAAGCUCAACCAGACUGCAAACCUAGAAAAUCUGAAAGGCCGUGAAUUGGAAAUGAGAGACUUGCUCCAAGGAUUGGAAGAACAUAGAAAAUUGCAAUGCUUAACUGAGCAGAACAUGCUUCUGUAAUUUGAUUCUGUUCGAACUAGUCAAAACACAUUUAUAACUUUCACAAUGCAAUGUUAGGAAGGUAAAGAACCCAUGCAUGCACACGAGCUAUAUGCUCGAUGCAUUGGAAACAUUUGGUGGACCGGUGAACCUGCUUGUUUGUCAUGAUUCUGAUCCAGCAGUUGAACACGCAUCAAUGUAUAUAUCUUAGGUGACAGGGUCGAGGUACAUUGGAGAACGAGCAAAAGGUACCAUAACUUCGUAUAAAACUUGCCUGUUUGUCCAGCAAAGUGUUGGAAGAUAUGCAGAAUCACGGAUUGCACAAUCAAGGAUCCGGAUUGAUUAUUGAUUUGAUUUGAAGAUUAGAAUUAUGUACAUAAUCAAUUAAGAUUAGAUCUAGCUAUAGAUUGAUUUGUAGAAUCAUUUAUUCCCUUUAUUUUUCAUACAGCUUGUAUUAUAUUUACAACAAGAAUUGUACAGAUUCAUCAUUGAAGUAAAUAGAAAGAAAACUGUUCCUUCUUCUUUCAUGGUAUCAGAGCAGCCGAUUCUCUGAACCUAGCUUCCGCUUCCGCUCAGAAUUUUCUCUCCUUGCUGUGACUUUCUGAUCCUGAAGUUCUGACCUGCAAAAAAGGGUUUCUUUUUCAGGCAUAUUGUCACGCUCAGAAAAUUUUACUCACCAUGGCGAAUUUGCAAGAUGAAGUAUCCACCACCAGGAACCAAUCUGCUGGUUAAGUUAUUCCAGCCGCUGGAAGCACUGCUCAGACAUCGAUUUCACCUGUUACAACUCAAACAACAACGCAAAUGUUGUUUCCAACUCAGCCCGUGCAAUGGCGGCCCACCCCGGCUCAGUUCACUAUGGGGCAGCCCAUGACGGGCCAGCCUUUCCAAUGGAUUCCAUAUCCAAUCUAUGUUGGGUCAAACCCAAACUCUUCAUUGCUUGGGUAUGUGGGCCACCAAAGCCACGUCCAAACCGACGGGGGUCCGCCAGCCACAGAAGGGGCAAACCCGACCGACGGAGUGGAGCGGAUACACAGGUCGAGUGAACCGGGUACGGGUAUGAAUCCCUACCCGGGAUUUUUGAAUGCGGAUUUUUCAUUCGGGUCGAAUGAAUCGGGCCAAGGGACGAAUCCCUACCCGAAUCAUACGCCCGGGUUUCUGCCCUUUCCAGCGGCGGCCUUCGCCAGACGGCCAGAACUCAGCGACCCCUUGUUCGUUUCCACAGCCGACGGACCAGAGCUGCGACUAAUCAGUCAACAACUGACCGGGCCAGAGACUUACCCCAAGUGGUCGCAAGAGUUCCGACGUGCCCUAGCGACAAAGGACAAGGAUGGAUUUCUCGAUGGAACCAUCCCAAUCCCUACCGACGAGCGUCUAGCACGGCUCUGGAGGAAGAGCAACCGCCUGGUCCGAACUUGGAUCGGCAAUUGUCUCUCCACAGAGGUCUCGGCUGGACUCCCACCGACUGAAGACGCCAAAGGGAUGUGGGAUAAUAUCAAGGAGAUGUACGGGAGGUUGGAUCAAGCAAAAAUAUUCACCCUCAUGCAAGAACUCAGUGAUUUAAAACAAGGGAAUUCGACGGUCACAGCUUGCUUCAACAAAUUAUCAUCGUUAUGGAACAGCCUCGAAGCAGCAGAAGAAAAACUCGAGGGUCCCGAAUCCACACUCCGACAGUACAAAUCCAUCAAAGACAGGGAGAAAGCGACGCGUUUUUUGCUCAUUUUAAACGACAACUUUCUUACCUUUCGCUCGUAGAUCUUGGCUAUGGAUCCCAUGCCAUCAAUCGGGCGAAUUUAUCAACUAGCGGUGCAAGAGGAAAGCCAGCAAUUCGCAUCACCAAAGAACGCGAAGAGUGGCGAGAGUAUCGCUCUUGCAGUCCACAAGGAGCGAAAAGAUGGAACCCAGAAAACCCUAGCAGAGAAGAGACGUGGCGUGCUAGGGUUUCGCGGAGAAGGGUUGCGGGCCUAUAAAUCAGAAGGGAUGAACGGCUCUGAUCGAGCGCGUAUAUCCGACGGCUCACAGGAGACCGAUCAUUUAAAAGGAUCGGACGGCCCAGAUGAACUCGCGACAAAAGGAACCGACGGACAGAUUUUUGCCACAUCAUCCAGGAAUUUCGGGCAAAAUUUUAAAGGGAAAGGUAGAUUAUUUUGUGACUAUUGCAAGCGUUCUAAUCACUCAAUUGACAGUUGUUGGAAGCUGCACGGGAAACCAGCGGAAAAAGGAAAAAGAAUUUCAGCGGCAUACCAAUUGAGUGGAUCUCCCGGCCCAAAUUCUGAUCAUACCAUUACCUAUGGACAGUACCAGCAACUGAUGCAAGCUUUGCAGAAAUUGGAUGUUUCUGACAAAGGAGGCAGUUUUUCAAGUAUCACGCAUGGCUUGAUUAAUUCUAUAUCAAGAAAAGCAUGGAUUAUUGACUCAGGGGCAACUGAUCAUAUUAUAUGUGACAAGAGUCUUUUCUCAAGAAUAGAUGAGGAAUUGAAUUUUCCCAUUUCCGUACAAUUGCCUAAUGGGAAUAUUAGUCAUAUUCGUGUGACAAGAACGGUUAAUCUCAGUCCUCAAAUUAUUCUUAAAAAUGUCCUUUAUGUCCCAGAAUUCCAGUUCAAUCUCAUUUCCGUAUCAAAAGUCUGCCAAGAGAAUUCAUGUCGAGUGAUAUUCAAUGCUGAUACCUGUUUAUUUCAGGCCCUUUCAACUGGCAGACUGAUGGGCUGGGGUAAUAUUUCAGAAGGACUAUUUUUUUGGUCAAGACUCCCAAGUAAUUUUGAUUUAUCCAGCUUUCCAUUAAAUAAAUCCUCCUUGUGUAAUUUGAGCUUGAAUGAUAAAAGUUCUCUUAUGCAUAUGAGAUUAGGCCACAGUGCCACCUUUCCUUAUCCUAAAUGUCCUAUUUGUCCACUAGCAAAACAGUCUCGUUCCCCUUUUCCAUCUAGUAAUUCUCGUGCUAGACAAAUCUUUUCACUGAUACAUGUUGAUAUAUGGGGACCUUAUCAUAAGGUUAAUUAUGAUGGAUCACGUUAUUUCCUCACAAUAGUAGACGAUCAUUCUCGUGCGACAUGGAUUUUCUUGAUGCAAUCAAAGGCUCAGACUUACUCUUAUUUAAAGACAUUUAUUGCCUUAUCCAAAAAUCAGUUUGGAAAAUCAAUCCAGAGAAUUCGAACUGAUAAUGGAGCGGAAUUUUUCAGUCACAAUUGUUCCAUGCUUUUCUCAUCUCAUGGCAUCCAGCAUGAGAGUUCAUGCACUUAUACACCACAACAAAAUGGAGUGGUUGAGCGCAAGCAUCGGCACCUUUUGGAAGUCGCACGUGCCUUGAAGUUUCAAGCUUCAGUACCAGAUGAUUAUUGGGGAAAUUGUGUCAUCACAGCAGCUUAUUUGAUCAAUCAUAUGCCCACCAAGAUACUGGACAAACACCAUUCGAGCUACUCUAUGGAAGAAAACCAGAUUUACAACAUCUCAAAAUCUUCGGAUGUCUUUGCUAUGCUACAACAUUGGGCUCUCGAGACAAGUUGAGCCCACGUGCUCGGAAAUGCAUUUUCAUGGGAUAUCCUAAUCUGCAGAAGGGGUAUCGAGUUCUUGAUAUAUCAACAAAGGAGUUUCUUAUAAGCCGUGAUGUAUCUUUCCAUGAAGAUAUAUUCCCCUUUUCCAACAUGGGGGAACCAAAUGAGAAUCUCGACAUCAAUUCUAAUUCUCAUCGUCUCUCACAUGACGACGCAAUAUCUCCAGACCAUGGUUACAUACCACUGGUUCAAUCAAGGAAUCCAUCUUACACUCCUACAAUAAUUCCAGGAGAGAUACCAUCUAUACUGGAGAAUCCAUCAUCAUCAGCAAACCUGACAGAAGAGGAAGUUGAAGAUGCAAGCAAUAUUGCGGAAGAAGUUGGCCAUGAUAUCUCGCCACCCACCUCCAAUGAAACAAUUCCCACUUCUGAUGGAGAUCAUCCAAGACGCUCUCGUCGGGCCACUCGACCUCCGACGUGGACCAAGGACUAUAUCUGUGCCACUCACAACUCUCCAGGUAUUCAAUAUCCUGUCUCCUCCUAUGUUUCCUUUCAUAGAUUAUCAGAGGAACAUAGAUGCUGCAUUAGUCGCCUAUCAGAAGAACAGGAACCAUCUAGUUAUGAUAAGGUAGCUGUUGAUCCUAGAUGGUAGCAAGCCAUGGCAGCAGAGUUAAAGGCAUUGAAUGACAACCACACAUGGGAUCUUGUCUCAUUGCCACCUAAUCGGAAACCAAUUGGGUGCAAAUGGGUAUACAAGAUUAAAUAUCGUGCAGAUGGAUCAAUUGAACGGUACAAGGCACGCUUGGUAGCAAAGGGAUUUACUCAGCGAGAAGGUUUUGACUACCACGAGACCUUUUCCCCAGUUGCCAAAGAUGUCACAGUUCGCUCUUUUUUUACCAUCGCCGCCAUCAAUGAUUGGAGUCUGCAUCAAAUGGACGUGCAUAAUGCCUUUCUCCAUGGUGAUUUAGAUGAAGAGAUAUAUAUGGAUGUUCCUCUGGGUUUACGGAGACAGGGGGAGAAUAGAGUGUGUCGUCUCCGCAAAUCCCUUUAUGGGUUGAAGCAAGCAUCCAGACAAUGGUAUGCAAAAUUUGCAAAUGCUCUUACGAAAGCUGGGUUCCAACAAUCAAAGCAUGACUAUGCAUUGUUCACAAGGAACAGAGGUAUGUCAUCUAUCUUUUUGAUGAUAUAUGUCGAUGAUAUUCUUCUUAUGGGAAAUGAUAAGGCUGCCAUAGAAAGAUUCAAGGAAUAUUUGCAUGCUACCUUUCAUAUGAAGGACUUAGGAGCACCUAAAUAUUUCCUUGGAAUCGAAAUUGCUCGAUCCGAUUUAGGAAUCUCCCUCAGUCAACGAAAGUUCAUAUUGGAGAUUAUAUCAGAAGCAGGGCUAUCAGGAUGUAAACCAGCAGCAAUUCCCAUCGAGCAGAACACUAAAUUGACUUCUGCAGCUUACGAUGAAGGUAUAUCCAAAGAUGACGAUCCCAUACUCAAAGAUCCAUCUGGAUAUCAAAGGCUUGUUGGGAAACUUAUAUAUCUGACAAUGACGAGGCCGGACAUCUCUUAUGCAGUACAAACAUUGAGCCAGUUCAUGCAUAGCCCAAAACAGUCUCAUUUCGAUGCAGCUUUGAAGAUUGUAAAAUAUUUAAAGAAAUGUCCAGGACUUGGGAUACUUCUGUCAAAGAAAUGUGACAUGAAGAUGACGGCAUUUUGUGAUGCAGACUAUGCAACAUGUCCUAUAAGUCGAAGAUCAGUCACAGGAUAUUGCAUUAAAUUUGGGGAAUCACUUCUUUCAUGGAAGACCAAGAAGCAACCCACUGUGUCUUUAUCCUCAGCUGAGGCAGAGUAUCGAGCUAUGGCUAAGACCACAUGUCAAAUAGUGUGGAUGUGAGGUUUACUUAAGGAUCUUGGGAUAGAAGUGCAAGGACCAACCAGGCUUUAUUGUGAUAACGAUGCAGCCCUAAAACUUGCAGCAAAUCCUAUAGUACAUGAGAGAACCAAGCACAUUGAAGUCGACUGUCACUUCACUCGAGAAAAGAUACAAGAAGGCGUGAUUGAGACAAGAGGAAUUGGAACAAUGGAGCAGCCAGCAGAUAUAUUUACCAAGCCUCUAUGUCAAAGACAGCACGCAUAUCUGUUGAGCAAGCUAGGUGUCUUAGACAUAUACAGAUCACCAGCUUGAGGGGGAGUGUUGGAAGAUAUGCAGAAUCACGGAUUGCACAAUCAAGGAUCCGGAUUGAUUAUUGAUUUGAUUUGAAGAUUAGAAUUAUGUACAUAAUCAAUUAAGAUUAGAUCUAGCUAUAGAUUGAUUUGUAGAAUCAUUUAUUCCCUUUAUUUUUCAUACAGCUUGUAUUAUAUUUACAACAAGAAUUGUACAGAUUCAUCAUUGAAGUGAAUAGAAAGAAAACUGUUCCUUCUUCUUUCACAAAGGCCCAUUUAUGUUCGCUACUCUAUGACGCUGCAUGUUCAAAGCAAGCGCAAGCAUCAGAACGCUGAACAAACGCUCUGUUUGUCCAGCAAAGGCCGAGUAGAAACUUCUACACCAAACCACUCACUUCCUUGCACUAUCUCAUUCCAAAACACAUCACCAAAACUCCCAUGGGCAUAUCAUUUCACCAAUUUCCCAGCAAAGCAGCCGACGCGUAAACCCUAGAAAACUCAAUCGCAACAGGAAACACCAUUUCCGUGACACUGCAUGAUCAAAGCGACCGCGUGACCGAGCAUCAGAGUGCUGGACAACGCUCUGUUUGUCUAGCAAAGGCCGAGUAGAAACUUCUACUCCAAACCACAUAUCGUCUCCCUGAGUUACUGGCAAAGCAACCGACGCGUGAAUCCUUGAGACCUCAAUCGCAACCAGAAAGGCCAUUUUCCGUUCGCUAAAUCCGUGACGCUGCAUGUUCAAAGCAAGCGCGCGAUCAAGCAUCAAGAUGCCGAACAAACACUCUGUUUGUCUACUACACCGAACCGAUUGCUUCGUUGCACGAUCUCAUUAAAAAAAAAAAAAAGGAAGAAGAAGAACGUAAUCGUCUCUCGAAACGAUGAACUCGCGAGGAAGAUGACGACGGAGUCGACCCGUCGAAGAGAUGAUAAAAGGAAAGGAAAAGGCGCGAGAGCGACGUGAGAGCUGACCUUCGACGGCUCCUUCACGUAGAGAUAGGCGGCGAAGGAAGCCAGCAGGAUCAGCACCGGCAGGAUCCGCCAUUGCAGAUGCUUCAUUCCUCCCUCCCUCUCUCUCUAGAAUCUCGAUGACGCAGAAAGGAGAGAGAGCGCUUCGCAGAAAUUUGCGCUCCCUCACGAGUCGCGAAGCGCCUUCAGAGUCAGCUCCCUCUUGUCGUUUUUUCUUCCCUCUCUCCUUAAUAUUUUGAUUUUUCGGUGUAAAGAUUAUUUACUUACCGACCAAUGGAACUCUGACACGUGUAGGAUUCCUCGAAGCAAUUUAAUAAAAGUUUUUUUAAUUGAUAAGGGGGAAAGAAUAUUUGUUUUUCUUGGCACGACCAAACACUUCGAUUUUUCCAGCGAUGUCUUUAGUGGAGCGUGCGUGCAUGCGUGUAAGCCCACUUGUCUCCCAUUGGCGAAAUUUUUGUUAUGUACACGAUAUCAUUUUAUAUUAUAACUAAUGCGAUGUUAUGUAUUUUUCUAUGUUCAAUUCCAUUUUAAUCUGGAAAAUGUCAAGUGUUAAUCGACAUUAAAUUAUUAACCAAGGCUUUUUUGUGGAGUAGUUUAUGACAUAGGUGGAAAACGAGUAUUAUAAAUGUAGGUAGAUAUCGAUGGCUGGGCAUGACGAACGAAUGAAUAAAAUCUAAUUUUGGCUAGAGAAAGUUCGAGAUGCUCUAAUGGCUUUGGUUUUCAAUAUAUAAUACAAAUAGAAAUAUAAUUUAAUAGGUCGAAAUUCAUAAUUGAUUCCUCAAAUCUAUGCACCAAAACGAACCCUUGCUAAGUUCUAUAAUAGCUAGAUUGGUCUAACAACAAAAAGUAGUUUUUAUAUUUUGUUUUCAGAUUAAUGUCUCGAGUGAUGAUAAUAUGACAAUUUAAAUUUGGAGACAAUAUUAAGUAUUUUAAUAUAAUUCAUAGACUAAAUUGAACAUAUAUUAAAAAUCUAGGGACCUCGUUGUACAUUAAAUUAGAAUUUAGGGACCAUAUGAAAUAAAUUUAAAGUUAAUGGAUGAAUUAUGCAAUUUUAUCUAACAAAGGUAGUUUUGAAGAGGGGAGUACAGGGAUUUUAACCGCAGCGGUUUUCUUCAUCCGUGAAAACCGUCUGGAGCGUCGGUUAUCGUAGAUAUUGCCUUCCAUCACGGCGUCUCAAGUUAACCGCAGCGGUUUUCUUCUUCGGAGGCGCCGUUUUUUAGAGAGAGAAACGGAUACCAUACGCAGAGUCAAAAAUCAAUCCGUUUCUCCCCUGGCCGAGAAGUCUGAUUGAUCCCGGUCUCCAUUGAAGCUUCGCCACCCGGCCCAUAACUUCGUCGGCGACGAGUUUCCGUGGCUGUCUCGGGUUUCGCUUGAUCAUCAAUCGUGAUUAGAACUCCGUUUCAUUGAGGCGUUUCUUGGUCAUCGGCAGUGCUGGUCUGUCUGUGAGAAGUGGCUCGGAGUUUGUGUAACGCUUCGACAAUGAUGACCGGGGAGGUGAGCUUUUCUCAAUCUUUUUCUCCUUUUAUAUUUUCAUCGUGCUGUUCAUGUGUUGAAUUAUUAUCUGUGAUGCUGUGUGUUCCAAGAUCAAACGAUCGGUGGCGGUCGAUGGCGGUGUUGUAGUAAUGGAUGGUGUUCGGAGGCGACGUCCAUGGCAGCAAUGGCCAGAAGUAGUGAAUAGCGGUGCAUUCCAAGCUCUGUUGCUCCUCUCGUCACAUUCAGCGGACGCCGCAGCGGCGGAAUCCACGGCGUGUUUUUUUCUUUUUUCUGGUAAGAUUUGAAUUGUGUGUUUUAAAUGAUCUCUUAUGUGGGGUCAAAGAAUGGCAGGAGAAAUGGCUUUCCUCAUUUUUUUGGUAAGAUUUGAACUGUGUUUUUUUUCUUUUUUCUGCUCUAACAUGGAACAACCACGAGUACCUGCCGCCAGUCAUCUGCUUGUUGCGGUAGAAUGAGGUUUGGCUAUCAUUUGGGAAUAUCAGUGCUGCGUAAAACGUGCCCUUUAUCACAGAUUUUCUGUGUCAAUUACUCCAUCUACUAGUUUAAAGUAUGAACUUCUAUAUCUCUUUGGCUUGUCACAGGUACAUAUCAACAGUUGGGUUUUACUCGCUUAAGAUGCACUUCCUUGUUAGAAGGAAAAAAUGACCAAAGGUUACGUAACAAGGAAGCUGUUGGGCAUGACUAUAAAAGGUUUUCUUUUAAAAAUUGAAAUGGCCACUUUAGUAAUCUUUAUUUAGUAUGGAGAAUCUCAGUCACGAUUAUAAUCAAAUAGUUAGAGUUGUCGCCAAUAAAGAAAUGUUGCCAGCCUUGAGUUGCUACAUCAGUCCAACAUGGUGCUUGCAAUAACUAUACCUUUUUUGUGUCAUCAUCAUUGGUCAGCCUUGUCAUUGGUCAGCCUUGCCUUCAUGAAUCUUUGUUGCUCAUUGAGAUUAGUCCGGAAAUUGUUACUUCAACCGAGCUCAACAAGGAGUUGGAAUCUCUAUUGCCCAUUGAGAUUUGGUGUACUUAUUUUAGCGUGGAAAUUUGGCAGUCACAAUGCAUGACAAGAGAGGACAAUCAAAUAAAACUUCAUAGUUCUGACUAAACUUAUGCAUUAUAUUGAUUUAUCAAUUUCAAACCUUGAGAACCUAGCUAGGGAAAAAGGGGCAAAUUAUGAAGGGUAAAAUAUGUUGCUUUUCCUAGCCUUUCUUGUGGAAAAACCAUAUUCGUGGCAAUGGAGACUGAAUUGUGAUCUCUGAUUUGACUGAACAAUAUAAUUUGAUAGCUAGUUUUAGACUCUAAAAGUCCUCAUUACUUAUUCUUGCUGAACGCUUGGAUGUAGGUUGCUGGUUGGAUUUGAAUGAAAAAUCUCUUGUUGUAGUUUUAGAGGCUAGUCGUAUUGCUUUUUAAAUGGAUCAGAGUCAAUACUCCAUGUUCAUUGGCAGAACUCACCAAGUUUUGGAUUGGUGCUCCUAUCUACAAAAUGGUUUUGUGUCAUCUAUUAAAAAAUUGUAGACUCUUUCAAUAGAACAGUUGAUAGAACAAAUCUAGUAAGGAAAAUGUAGGGGAAGUUGUGUUUCCCAUUAUGAGCUAGUGUCUAGUUUAGUGAGUGUGGGCAAUAACUGCUCUAGCAUUGUAUUUAGUUUGUAUGCUUCGGAUCAAUUAACUUUAGAAACCUAAGGUUCUCAUUUUUUGGAACAUGAGAUGCAUCUGUGCUGAAAUUUCAUUUGGUAUAUUUACGUGGCCAUGUUCAUCUCCUCGUUCCCGUCCCAUGGCUCUACUCAAACUGAGAGGCUUACAGGGAGAGUUUAGAUAGAGAAGGCGAGUGUUGAUGGAGUCAACCAUAUCAAAGACUCUCUAUCCUCAUCUUCGUCCUCCCUCAACCCCUUCGUCUUCCGCCUCUACCGCUACAUCACCCGAUCGCUGCAUCGCUGAUGCGAGUGGGUGUCUGGCACCUAUGAUUGCAUCACCUUCGGCAUAACCCCUAGAGGAUUGAGUGAAGCUUGAUAUGAGUUUGUGCCAGCAAAGUGACUAUAANNNNNNNNNNNNNNNNNNNNNNNNNNNNNNNNNNNNNNNNNNNNNNNNNNNNNNNNNNNNNNNNNNNNNNNNNNNNNNNNNNNNNNNNNNNNNNNNNNNNCAGCGAGCGUGAAAGAGAAUUUGAGAAAAUCAAUUGAGUUUGCCAUUGCUUUUGUUUUGCUAUUAUACUCUCUAAGGUACCUGGGAUCAUCCAUUUUUCAUAAUAAAAAAAAUGGUCAUCAACUUAAAUUAAACUUAGUGUGACGGAACAGUCAUCCCCCGUGUUACGCAUUUUGUCCUCUCGUAAAUGUGAAGAGAAAUAAGGUUCUAAAUGAUCUCUUAUGUUGGGUGAAAGAAUGGCAGGAGAAAUGACUUUCCUCUUCUUCUUUUUUUCCCGGUAAGAUUUGAACCCUGCGUGUUUUUUUCUACUUUCUGCUCUAACAUUGAACAGUCACAAAUACCUGCCGCCAGUGUCAAUCUUACAGCCGAGACAGCAGUUAUAUGGCCUCUAUUUGAAGCCGAGGCUGUACAUAAUUAGCAAAAAGAGUUGGGAGAAACAGUUGCAAAACACUUGACAAAUUGUGGCUUUAUAUCUAACCCUCGAGGUAAGCAAUUUUUAUUCACUAUAUGCUUGUUGCAGGAGAAUGAGGUUUGGCUGUCAUUUGGGAAUAUCAUUGCUGCAUAUAACGUUCUUUUUAUCACAGAUUUUCUAUGUCGAUUACUCCAUCUAUUAGGUUGAAGAAUGAGCUUUUAUAUCUCUUUGGCCUAUCACAGAUACAUAUCAAGAGUUGGGUUUUACUCGCUUAAGAUGCACUUCCUUGUUAGAAGAAAAAAAAGGCCAAAGGUUAUGUAACAAGGAAAUCUGUUGGGCACGACUACAAAAGGUUUUCGUUUGAAAUAUUGAACUGGCAGGAAUCUUUCUUGAGUAUGGAGAAUCUCAGUCACGUUUGUAAUCAAACAGUUAGAGUUGUCGCCAGUAUAGAAAUGUUGCCAGCCCUUGAGUUGCUACAUUAGUCCAACAUGGUGGUUGCAAUAACUAUACUCUUUUUUUUUUUUUAUGUCAUUGUCAUUGGUCACCCUUGACUUCAUGAAUCUUUGCUGCUCAUUGAGAGUAGUCCAGAAAUUCUUACCUCAACCGAUCUCAGCAUGGAGUUGAAAUCUCUGUUGCUCAUUGAGAUUUUGGGGUUUAACAAGCCACACAAUGUGGAAAUACCGUACUUAUUUUAGUGUUGAAAUUUGGCAGUCAUAAUGCAUGACAGGAGAGGACAACCAAAUAAAACUUCAUAGUUCUGACUAAACUUAUGCGGCAUAUUGACUUGUGGUUUGAAACCCUGAGAACCUAGCUAGGGAAAAAGGGGCAAACUAUGAAGGAUAAAACAUGUUGCUUUUGGUAGCUUUUCUUGUGGAAAAACCAUAUUUGUGGCAAUGGAGACUGAAUUGUGGUUCCUGAUUUGACUGAAACAAUUUAAUUUGAUAAGUAGUUUUAGACUCUAAGAAUCCUCAUUUCUUAUUCUUUCCAAAUGCUUAGGUUCAGAUUGAUGGUUGGAUUCGAAUGAAAAAUCUCUUAUUGUACUUUUAGGGGCUAGUCAUAUUGCUUUUAGAAUGGAUCAGAGUCGAUAUUGGCUGAACUUGCCAAGUUUGGAAUGUUGCUCUUAUCUACAAAAUGCUUUUGUGUCAUCAAUUAAAAAAUUGUAGACUCUUUUAAUAGAACAGUUGAUAGAACACAUCUAGUGAAAAAAAGGGUCAAUUAACUCUAGAAACCUAAGGUUCUCAUUUUUUUGGAACAUGAGAUGCAUCUUUGCGAAAUUUGAUUUGGUAUAGUUUUUAUCCUUGAUAUGAGUAUGUGGUGAUGAAAUAAGCAUAUUUAAUAUUACAUAGCGUAAUUGCAAAAACUAUCCUCAAUUUUGCUUUUCAUAUCAAAUACCCUCCUCACAUUUCAAAAUCUAUAUAGUGCAUCUCCCAACCUAAAUUAACUAUUUGCCCUUAUGCGCGCAUGAGAUCUACACCUAGAAAGUGGAAUGCAACAUUGAGGAUGGGGUAAUUUGAGAAAUAUGUGUGGGUGCGAGAUGCAACCUGAAAUCCACAACCAAAAAAAUAAAAUAAAAUGGAGAGUGAUGAUUGGAUGUCUGAAAUAUGAGAAUAGCGCGUUUGAUAUGAGUAGCAAAGUCUAGGAUGAUAUCUGUAAUUUUCCAUGUCAUAUAAUACAAACUAACUCCAGGAUGAAUAUUUCUAAAGCAGGUGGUGGUUGAAAAGUUCUCUGCCUCGAGGUUCAGGUAGUGACCAACAUGGUGAUUGCAGUCGUGACUGUGGUCGUGAUCGUGGCCCUAAUCAGGCCUGUGGUGGUGGAUGUGGAGGUGGAGAUGGAGAGUGCUUGCGGAAAGCCUGGGCAUUCUACAAGCGAGUGUCCUAGUGAAAGGGCAGAGGAGGUAGUUAUGCGGGGAGCAAUGACAGGUAUGGAGGUGGAGGUGGUGGACACUAUGGUCCUCAUCGAAAUGGUGGUUGACCUGGCGGGUGCAAUAGAGAUAGUGGUACUCAAGGAGGAUCAUGAAAUGACUGCUAUAAUUAGGACCGUUCUGGUCCCUAUGGAUGUCGUCGUACAGGAAACUUCUGUUCAGGGUAGAAAGAAUUCUCCUGAUAGGUAUGCACAGAGGUUUUUCCUAUUAUAGUGAAGUAGUUGAUCCUGUGCUGAUUGAAAAGUGCUUGCAACAGAGCAAUUGAAGAUACUGCUGUUACUUGCUGGAGGUGUCAAAGUCUCUUCUGUUUCAUCUCUUCUUCAUGGUUCUCCAGGUGGACAAAUCUGCUUGAUCCAACUGUUGAUGUGCGAUCUUUGGCUAAAAGAUUCAACUGUUUAAUGUCUGUGAAUGCUCGUUUUGAUGUUUUGGAUCCAAUGACAUUGCUUGCUUUACUUAAACAAUCAAAUUUGGCCUUACUAUUUCAAUGCUAUGAUGAAUACUGGAUUCUCUUUUGCUCACAUGCUUUAGCAAUUGCAAAUGCAUCUGAGAUCGAUCUUGGUUGACUUCAUCAUUGGCGUUUGUGACUAUGGAGUGUGGACAGCUUUUUGGUGUCUAGAUGGCUCUUUUGAGGAUUGGACGAGAUUCACCUAAGGAAGUAAUGCGUUUUCUCUUCACAAAAGAGAAGUUGCCUUAGAAAUGAAUGCCUGUUUUGGCUACGAUUUUUCAAAUGUUUAACUUUUUGAAAAGGAGUUAAGCGGGUAAACUCUAUGUUUUCUUCGACACAUUUAGUAUGUGAGCUUUCUGUCUAUAGUUUGCACUAUAUUAACUCUGCUAAACUUUUGGCAGGAUUCUAUGCUGUUUGUGGUGUUUUGAUGCGCAGUUCCGUUACUCUUAUAUCAUGAUACGUGGGUUUAGUCUUAAAAACUCUGGAAAGUCCUUUUGGUCUCAAGAAGCUGUUCUGUGCAAUUAACUCGGUAAAUUUCGUCUCACCUUCCACACAUUGUACUGAUGGAGGAGUUCCUUUCUCAGUAAAAUGUGGAGAUCUUUUGGAAGCUUUAGUGAGCAUGGCAAUUUGAUUUUCACGAUCUUCUUCCUAGCUAUCUGCUGUCUCUUAUUGCCAUCUUCAGUGGAGGAUUGCUGGUCUCUGUCUCACCCGUGUACAUGAUGCUGCUAUUGUCUUAGGUUUCCUGGAUAAAUUUCCCUUUCAGGUGUAAUGCGGCUCUUCCUAUGAAUCAGCUAUGUUGCUAAUAAACACACGGUUCUUUUCACUUCUGCAUUAAUGAUCUUUGCCAUGCUCUUGCAGCCAGUCAUUUGCAAUUGAUAAUGUGUCUUCCCUGAAUUCUUUCAGAAGUUGUGCUAGCUCCAUUUGAAAUUGAUAUUGGCUUUGUGACUCCUAGAUGUGGUAUAUUCUCGCCACAAGCAAAAAAAGCGGAUAUGAUCAUUUCCUUUUCAGCUCUCUCUGUGUAAUUACUUGGUUAAGGUUAUUGGGCAUUCUUAACUAUGGCUUUGUAAGUGAAUAUUUUCUUUUCCCGUUAUGCUUGUCAACAAAUUUGGAGGUUAAGGUUAUUGGGCAUUCUUAACUAUGGCUUUGUAAGUGAAUAUUUUCUUUUCCCAUUAUGCUUGUCAACAAAUUUGGAGAUCAAAUUGGCAAUACGUGCUCAGCAGGAAAGAGUUAUCUAUUCUUGUUUAAAAUUGAAAGGAAUUUUACCGAAGUACUGGUUAAUUCUCAAGUAGAGCUUAAUAGUACAUUGUAUCAAUUUUCUGUUAAUCUUUGCGACUUCCUUUAUAUACUUAUUUCUUUAAUGUCAGAGCUAGUCACAUACUUAAGUUAAUCCCUAUCUUAAAUAGAUUUUUCAUAAUUCCAAAAUCAUUUCAGAAUCCAAAAGAAAAGAAAGGAAGCUGAAACAGGAAACCAAAAGGACCACAAUCAAACAAUUCAAUGAUCUUAAUCAUCAAUAUACAAAGUACACUGGGAGGAGGCCGGGGGUUUGCAUCCAGAGCAUUGAAUUGGACGGUGAAGCUCUUGAAGGUUUGAGAAAAGACCACGCUGUGUGGAUGGCUGAAAUGCUUGUGUGACUUCAUCUCUGUAUUAGGCUGCGCGCGUGCUUAUGUGUGUGAAAGAGCGAAGGGAGGGAGGAAGGUUGGCUUUUGUCUUAACUAGGAACUGCUCGUGUAUGUAGGAAACAGCGAAGGUUCAAGAAUCAAUGUUUAAAAUAUGCGAUUGGCAUAAUAUAUUGUAUUAACUCUAUAUAACAACUUUUUUUAAGAAAUGUAAUCAUUUUUCUUCUUUUGCGCUUUAAGGGGAAGUACAUUGAACAUGGCUAUAUGCGAAAGAAGAAAGACUGAUGCAACCCAUUGAAUACAGCUUCCUACAUAAAUGAAGUCAUCUUGGAAAUCAUGCGGAUCUCCCCGUCUCUCUCUCUUCUUUCGAGUUCAUGCUUGUGGAUGUUAUUGGCAAAGUAGUGUGAUCUCAAUCUAGCCCCGUGAUUCAAACUUGUUUCACGAUAUGUCCUUAUUUGAAGGGUAAGUUCACUUUGUGACAUCCUGGAUUUUACAGUUCUGCUUUCAAUUAAAUCAAUUGGAUUUUUCAUCGAUGCGCCUAUAGUGUUAUUCUCAGAGUUGAUCACUCGUAAGAUAACUAGACUAUCUAGGGAAGUCAUUAAGGGAUUUUAAUGUAUUAGACUUAAGGAUUCAACCAGGACUUGACUACUCGAUCAUGCUCAUCUGCAAAGAUCAUUACGGCAUAGUUAAAAAUUGCUUAGAGAACAGAGAUAGGUCGGUCCAACUGAGAUGUGUGACUAAACAUGGGUAAUUCUACUAAAUUGCAAAAUUCUCGUCGAUCGGCACUAGACUGAUUUUUUUGUCUUUUUGGUACCAUGUGUCUGUAUUUGAAUCAUCGAGAUUUUCAUAAGAAUCGAGAGUCACCACUGUGUCGAAUAGGUUCAUUGUGGCUCGAAGAAAAUCGACCAUAGGUUAUUUGCACUAAAAAUUUCUGAAAGCUACUCGGUAGCCUAGGUCACGCUAAAAACACGCCAAAGUGAAAUUAACCAUGAAUUUGAAUCCAAUUUCAGAAAUUGAAAAUUCUGUCAUGUCACAAGUCAUUUUAGGAACGUCGACUCAGUCUCCGAAGAUUUUUUUGCAAACCGAGACUUUUUGGGAAAAAGUCGUCGUAGGGCCAUUUUUAUUUAGAAAAGUCCGAGGGCCGUUUUUGAUUGGGAAAUUGGGAUGCAAGAUGGUUCAAUUGGUGAGGAAAAAUAUCAAUUUGAUUAUUGACCCGAUAACGAAAUUUUUAGAGGCCGAAUUGAAUUGAUUCAAUGAGGAUUCGGGGUCAAAUUGGAAGGAAAACCUUGCAAAUUCGUGUGCCCCCAUGACCCAUGACUUUUGGACCCUUUCCUUGGCUUCUUGUGGAAGAUUGUGGGUUGAAGUUUGCAGAGGAAGCCAACUGUGGGGUGAGGGACUGAUCAAGGGGACAAAAGAAGUGUAGAGACCAAGCUUGUUCCCCCCUUGUACCCUCUUUCCCUCUCUCUCCCGUCAACUGCUUCCGCCUCCUUUCUUCUUUCUGUUCAACGCCCAAAAACUGCAGAGAAGAACCAACUCAGCCUUCUCACCAUCGCAGCCAAUCGCCGGACCACCGUUCACUCCACCGCUUCGCUACUCGCUGUUCGGCGUGCUCGCCAACCCGUCGCAACCUCAUCGCCGUCUAGUCGCGUCGUCUCCGCCUGUCCUCGCCUUCAGCAAGCUGCCAAGGACGCCUGAGCCACCGUCAAAGCCCAUCAAAGCUCCCAUCACCACCGCCUAGACCCGGUUUGGUCCCCUCUACCCAUCUCAGCUCGUUGUCGCCUCAACCAGCCCCCGUUCUGCCUUCUCUCAGCCUAGACCAAAUCAGAACCCAGUGGGUUUUCAGCCAAGGUUUUGGCCCGCUUUGGCCAUUUCCAAACCCCGAAAGGCAAGCCCACUUUAGAGAAGAUCGAGCCUCGCCUCGUCCCCAUCGAUUUGAUCCAAGCGGAUCAAUUAACAAGUGAGUUUAACUCACUAAUUUUCGCUUAGUAGGUUAAUGAUAUUUAAGGGUUGAUUAGUUUAGGUUAAGCAUGGAUUAGGUGGUUAGUUAGUUUAGAUUAGCGGUUUAAAUAUCCGUUAAUCAUGUUAGGUGGUUAGAGUAGUGUAGUUAGAGCCUAGACAAGCUCUAGUAUUUAUCUAGAGUAGUUCGGAAAUUUUCCAGGCUUGUCUCGGCUUCCAAUUAGGCUUUUUCAGGCCUAAGUUGCAUUUUUGGCAUUUAUUUAUUAUUUUCCGUAAUUAUUUAAUUAUUUAUUUAUUUUCCAUAAAUUAGACUGAGAUAGCCGGUGACCGGAAUUUCGUGCUGAUUGCAGUAGUGUGAUCUAUUUAUUUAAUUGAGUUCUAAUUUAUGCUGAUUGAGGGUGAUUUGUGGUUGGGGGUAUUUAUCCCAAAAUUAAUUAAUUUCAGUAAUUAAUUAGAAAAUCACCGGGCAUUAGUUUACAGCGCCAAAAAGGAUUUAUGGGCUGUUGAAACUAGUUGGAUUAUUAAAAGUGAAAAUAUUAUAUUUUGGUUAAGGUCGACCGUAUACCCACAUACGAGUAUUUUUAUCGUGUAUGAUAAAAAUGGCGAAAUGGUUAAAUGAUCGGGAUGAUAUGUUAUAUCAACCUGCAGACUACAAUCUGGCACCUUCUAGUGAGCAUAAAUAGCAUAUUAUAUGAGUAUUUGCGGCAGCUUUUGGUGAGCAUAAAUAGUAUAUUAUAUGAGUAUUUGCGGCAGCUUCUGGUGAGCAUAAAUAGUACAUUAUAUGAGUAUUUGCGGCAGUUUCUGGUGAGCUAUACUAUCUGUAUAUCAGCUUAAAAUGAGCAAUCCUGAGUAUGAUCGGAUUUAUAGAUAGUAUUGAUUGAGAAGACCGGGGAAGGGUCUUGAUGAUAUGUAAUCGACUAAGUCGAUUAAUCCAUGAUUCGAUCUGGCUGGAUAAAUUAAUUGUGAAGUGAUUGGUUGUGAUAUGAACUAUACUGACUUGCAGGAAGAAUCUAAGGUAAAGCUAAGUCUUCUGACUCUUGUUUGUACUUAGGCAGCCUUAGAGCAUAUUUUCUUCUUAAUCGGGUCUUAAGGGUAAAACUCGCUGAGACGUCGUCUCACCCUAUUGUGGGAUAACAUUUCAAGUCCUUAGAUAGCAGCUCCUCCAAAGCAUUUUGGACAACCAAGGAAGAUCACAAAACAAAAGUACGACAUUCCGAUCCAUGGGCAUCCCGAGGGGCUGCAGUAUGAACUGGUGAAGUCUAUAAUUUGGGUUAAUGUGGGUCUACCCAAAAAGGUGCCCCAUCAAUACAGGGCAUGGUAUCGCCUAUAUCGUAAUUGGCAAAGAGAGAGCCCCGUGCAGAAAUGUGAGAUAUCUGUGUAUGUGAUGAAAGUUGCUUUUGAAAAGGGUACGGUAGACCUUAAGGGUGGUUCGGUGGUGGACCUGGUGGACCCUAAGCUUGAAGAUGCAAAUUCUCCAAUGUAUUCUGUUGUAGGCUCCAAAUGGAGUGUGAAAGAAGGAGAAAUCGUGGAUGAUGACUCGUAGUUGAUUGGAAACCCUACCCCUAUUUGCAGACCCUGUUUUCUGACCGAUGUUGUGUAGGACUUGACUCCUGUAGUUUGUUGUAUACAUAUGACUUAGUUUGUUGUAUAUGUAUAUAAGAGUGGUUGUUGUUUUAGUUCGAAAAUUUUGGCCCUACUUUUCUAUACCAUUGUGUGAUUGUCUAGGGAAUAUUAAUUGCUUCCGCAUGUGCAUUAAAAUGAAUGGGUUGGCGAUGCAUCUUGGAACGUUGCUAUCUAAUCGACCAAGCCGGGAUGGGCGCGCGCCCGAAGGGUCGAGGUGUGACACACUUGUCUCAUAUUCCCUAUUACUUCAUCAAAUGAUAAACUAUACUUUUAAUCCCUAAGUUUGAGCAUUCUUUUCCAUUCAAAUCCUCUAAGCUUUGAGUUUUGUCUAUGGCUUCAAUAUAUGAUUUCAUUCUUUGCUUCCAAUAGGCACAAUUGCUUCCAUCAAAGUAAGGUAGCUUGUUGGGAGCUUGAGUAUCAUUGGUAAAGAAGCCGCCAAGAUUAGCCAUGAUAAAGGAUCUUUGUAUUCAGAAGAAAUACACUUCAGAUAAAGAGUAAUAGAGCUCUGAUACCAAUUGUUGAGAUUAACAAUAUAACUUAGAGGGAGUGAAUAUGUUGUUUUCAAACUUUGAUGAUCUUUUGCGGAAAUUAGCUAAUAGCUAAGUAAAGAUCACCAUGACCUGAUAUUUAAUUAAACUCACACUAACGGUAUGCCAAUAAGAAUGAGAAGAUGAAAAAUAGCGGGACACAAAGAGUUAUAGUGGUUUGGCUUUAUUCUCAAGCCUGUGUCCACUCUUUAGAUUGAUAGCCUCAAAACGGGCUGGAUUCCACUAACAAUAUGCUUGGAAAGUUAUAACCGACUAGCAUUGAUCUUUUGUGUGAUAGAUCGCACUAUCUUGAUUCAAUUACUACUCUUACACUUGUACAUUUAAUCUGUAGCACAAUCGCUAAAUAGCACGACAAGCAAGACAGUAAAACAUAGAGAUUUAAUAUGAGAAUAAUAGUACGUAAGCUACUUGAUCUUUUAUGUGCUGCACUCUCUUGGUUCCUAAAGCCUUCUCUUUUAUAAUCUUUCUAAAACUAUUUGUUGAGGUUGAUUUAGAGAGAUAGGUCAUCGUUGAAGAGUUUCCAUUAAACUGCUGUCCAGAAAGAUACUACCCAUACAGUUCCGUUUCUAGGACUUCUGCAAAUUGACCAAAAAUGACAAUUGCUAUUGUCUUCUUACUGCAGUUUUUAACUCACUUAUUAGACACUCUAGCUACUCUACUACAUGCUUUAUUUCGAUUCUGCCGCUUUAAGAAUCCAAAUCUUACAAUGGCUCUUUAGCUAAUCCAACGAACAUCAACUGACGUAGUUGGUUAUUACAUCACCGUCAACCUGAUCUUUACUACUCUAAUAUAAAUAUCAUCAGUACCUUAUCUUUUUGGUUGACUAGUGUUGUUUGUAAUAAUAGGAGAAUCGCAAAAUUUUCCAAUUGGUCACACCAUGGAUGUUGCAUGGUCCUUUGGUCCAAACAUCUGCAAACAACAUAGUACGUAAUAUACUAAAGAUAGUUUGAGCAUAAUCAAAAUCUCUUGAAGAUGUUUUGUCCAAUAAAGACUACUUUCCUUUUUGUGGAUGGGGGCUAUCCAUUUAUUUUAAUACCUUUGAUAAAGAAAUAUUAAAAAUUUAUCAAAUUGUUCUUUCUUGGAUACAGCAUAUUUCACCCAAAAUGAAGCUCUUCUGAAUUCAAGGUCAUUAGAACCUGAGGAUUCGAAAUGUUUUUUUUUUUUUUGAGUGAUUUGAAAUUAGGCCAUGAAGGCCCUUUUUUUAAUACUUGUAUUUAUCAAUGUUGAAAUGAAAAUAAAAUAUGCUUCAUAAUAACUGAAUAUUGAAUACCAAAUAAUACCAGUUUGUUAACUAAGCAUGAGCACCUUUAAUAAGUUUUUUGCAAAAUAUUUAGCAAGAUUCUAUUGCCAAUGAGUAUCUUUUUCUAUUGAAUGAAUAAGUGGCCUUCCCUUCCUUGCCUAGCGAAUUAGUGUUUUUUCGACUUAAUUAAACCUUUUAAGCUUAUUUUUAUUAUGAUAACGGAAUUUGUUUAAUUUUAAUGAGUGCUAAAUAUUUAAGUUUUGAAGACUUAACCGAGUUAUCAAAUAGCCUACAAAUUUGGAAACUACUCACCUUAGAUUUACUCUUAGUAAACACCGUUUUAAUGUAUUGUAGCAUGGAUGUAAAUUUUGGUGAUUACACAUAAAAUUUAGAUGCAAACCAGUAAAUUAUUAAUCACCUCGACAAUGAAAUUCAAAUAUUAGAUAUUUUAUGUUGACUUUAGGAAAUUUAAAUAUGAGAUAGCAAUUUCUUUUACCAGCAAAGAAAGGUGGAAAUAGGCGAUCAACAUUUACCCUCUAAAUGUUAGGCAUUAGAUUUUAUCCAUGACUUUUCAAUGCAACGGUAAAUAUGCAAACGGGUGGAGGUUGGAUUUUUUUUUUCAUAACAUUGUUUGAUUGUGAUAAACUUGUUUAUAUUGAGCUACCACACUGGGUGAUAUACAAGAUAGUAUCUCAUGAAUAUGAAAAAUCUGAAUUAUGAAAUUUUUUCUCCCAUAUUUCAUACGAUGAAUACCAUAUAUAUAUUGGACAUUACCAAUCCGAGAUAAUUAUCGUGUAAUUUUUUUUUCAUUUUUUUUUCAUUUUUUUUCAUAAUUAAUGUUUUCGACGCCAUCAGUUUCUGACCAAUGUUCAUCUCCUCCCUCCCGUCCGGCGGCCCUGCUCAAACCGAGAGGCUUCCAGAGUUUAGAGAGAGAGAGAGAGAGGGAAGACGAGCUUCGAUGGAGUCAAGUCAACCAUAUCCAAGACUCUCUCUCUCUCUCUCUCUCUAUCCUCAUCUCCCUCCUCUCUCAACCCCUUCGUCUUCCGCCUCCAUCGCUACUUCUGCUCAUCACCGAUGCCUCCCCUCUUGGCUCCGCUGCAUAUAUGCCGACCGCAUCCGCUCCCCGAGCCUCGCUGAGCCGUCUCCGUCUCCCCCGGCUCCCGAGAGGUUCCGCUUGUGGGGCGUUUCGCUUCUCUCGGCGCCUUCAGCGGACGCGGCGGCGGCGGAGGAGGCGGAGUCGACGGUGAGGAUUGGAAGGUGAAAUCGGUGGUGGAUGGAGCCGAGGAAGCCUCAGGUGUCUCCUCUGAUGUGAUAAUUCUCGACGUCGGAGUAAGCCCCUCUCUCUACGUGAAUGUACGAGCUGAAGCUUCGAUUUUGUCGAUGCUUGUCCAACUUUCCCUGCAUUAUAAUGCUGAAGAUGUUAUUACGCGGUGCGUAUCAUGUUUCUUUUUCCAGUGUGCGGCCACUUGAGUGGCUCUGUUUCGUCUCUGCAGGGAAUGACUUGCGGGGGGUGUGCAGCGGGAAUGAAGAGAAUUUUGGAAAAUGAAGUGAGUUUGCCACUGCUUUUGUCUUUCUUGUAAGCCAUCUUUCAUAUGAAAAGAAUCGUCAUCGACUUGAAUUAAACCAAGUAUGAGAACUGUCAUUUUCUGAAUGUGAUUUGAACCCAGCGUGUUCUCUCUUUUUUUCUGCUCUAGCAUUGGACAGCCUCAAGUAUCUGCCGCCAGUGUCAAUCUUACAACUGGGACAUCUAUUGUGUGGCCUGUAUCUGAAGCCAAGGCUAUGCCUAAUUGGCAAAAAGAGUUGGGAGAAACACUAGCAAAACACUUGACAAAUUGUGGCUUUAAGUCUAACCCUUGAGGUAAGCGGUUUUAUUCACCAUCUGCUUGUUGCAGUUGAAUGGGGUGUGGCUGACAUUCGUGAAUAUCAUUGCCCCAUAUAAUGUACCUUUUAUCACAGAUUGUCUGUGUCGAAGACUCCAUCUGCUAGUUGGAAGUACGAGUUUUUAUAUCUGUAAUUUUCCCUGUCAUAUAAUACAAACUAACUCCGAGAAGAAUAUCUUUAAUGCAGGGGGUGGUUGACAAGUUCUCUGAACGCUCUCAUGGAUUUGGUUUUGUGACUUUUGAUGAGAAGCAAGCAAUGGAUGAGGCUAUUGAGGCUAUGAAUGGGAUGGACUUGGAUGGGAGAAAUAUCAUUGAGGAAAAAGCUCAGCCUCAAUGUUCAGGUGGAGACCAAGAUGUUGAUUGCAGUUGUAAACGUGGCCCUGAUGGGGAUAGUGGUACCCAAGGAGGAUCAGGAAAGGACUGCUAAAUCAGGACCAUUCUGGUCCCUAUGAACAUCGUGGUACCGGAAACUUCCAUUCAGGGUAGAAAGAAUAUUCCUGAUAGGUAUGUACACAAUUUUGUUUGCAGAUAUAUUAAAGCAGUUGAUGCUGUGCCGAUUGAAAAAUAUUUUGUGCUUGUAGCAGAGCAAUUGGAGGUACUGCUGUUACUUGCUGGAGCCAAAGUCCCUUCUGUUGCAUCUCUUCUUUAUUGUUCUCUGGGUGGACGAAUUGGCUUGAUCAGUUUUUGAUGUGUGAACUAUGGCUGAAAUAUUUGAAUGUUUAAUGUCCAUGAAUGCUCGUUUUGAUGUUUUGGUCUGAUGACAAUGCUUGCUUGACUUCAAAAAUCAAAUUUGGCCUUACUGUAUCAAUGCUAUAACGGGUCCUGGAUUCUUUUUGGGUUACAUACUUUAGCACUAACGAAUGCAUCUGAGAUUGAUCUUGGUUGACUUCUUCAUUGGCAUUUGCGACUGCGGAGCGCGGACAUCUUUUCGGUGUCUUGAUGGCUCUUUUGAGGAUAGGGCGAGAGAUUCACCUGUGGAAGUAAUGCGUUCUCUCUUUGCAAAAGAGAAGCUGCCUUAGAAAUGAAUGCCUCUUUUGGCUACGAUUUUUCGAAAGUCUUAACUUUUUGAAGAGGAGUUAAGCGGGUAAAUGCUAUCUUUUCUUAUACACAUUUAGUAUGUGAGCUUCCUGUCCAUAGUCUGCACUAUAUUAACUCUGCUAAGCUUUCGGCAGGAUUCUUGGCUGUUUGUGGUGCUUUGAUACACGGUCCUGUUACUUUCAUGUCAUAGGACAAGGUGUUAGUCUUAAAAAUUCUGAAUAGUCCUUUUGUCCUCAGGAAGCUAUUACUUUGUACUGAUGGAUGAGUUCUUUCUCAGUAAAACGUGAUCUUUUGGAAGCUUUGGUGAGCAUGCCAAUUUGAUUUGCAUUUUCUUCUUCCUAGCAAUCUCCCGUCUCUUGUUAUCAUCUUGGUGGAAGAUAUCUGGUCUUUGUCUCCUCCGUUUGCAUGGUGCUUCUAUCUUGUUAGGUUUCCCGGAUAAGUUACCCUUUCAGGUGUAAUGAUGGCUUUUCCUUUGAAUUGGCAAUGUUCCUAAUAAACACAUGGUUCUUUUUGCUUGGGCAGCUGUGCGUGCAUUGACUUGCAUUUUUGCACUGAUGAUCUUUGCUGCACACAUUCAGCCAAUCAUUUGUGAUUGAUCAUGUAUCUUCCCCCCUAUUCUUUUAGAAGUUGUGCUUGCUCCAUCUAAAUUUGAUACUCUUGGAAUAAGAAACAACCGGAUAUGACCAUCUCCUUUUCAGUUUUUCUCUGUAGUUACUUGGUUAAGGUUUUUGUGCAUUCUUAAAUAUGGUUCUGUAAAUGAAUAUUUUCUUUUCCCGUUGCUUGUCAAAAUAUUUGGAGAUCAAAGUGGCAACAUGUGCUCAGCUGGGAAGAGUACACUAUUCUUCCUUGUUAGAAUCAGAGGGGAAUUUUAUCAAGGUAUUGGUUAAUUUUCAAGUAGAGUUUGACAGUAGAUUCUAUCAAAUUUCUGUUGAUCUAUGCGACUUUCUUUAUAUAGUUAUUUCUUCAAUCUCAGAACUAGUCACAUGCAUAACUUGAUCCCUAAUGUCAAGGACUUUCUUAAUAGAUUUUUCAUAAUUUCAAAAAUCAUUCUAGAGUCCACCCCCCCAAAAAAAAAAAAGAAAAGAAAAGAAAAGGGGAGCUGAAAUAGGAAACCCAAAGGAUCCUAAUCAUUAAAUUACAAAGUACAAAAAUGUCCAUGGGAACGCGGUGACCAAAUCACCAUAUGAGUUAUAAUAACUCUACACUAGGAAAUAAAAACCAUAGCAGACCACGAAAUCACAUUUAUGGAAAUUCAAGACUAGGAAUUUAAUUACGUAGAGUACAUCUUGGAGGGAAAAGCUUGUGUGCGCGAUGUUAGCGAAGUCUAGUUCUGUCGAUGGAUGAGGAGACCAUAAUAGCAAGCAUGGACUGCGUUUUAAUCUUGUGCUGAAACUUUAUCAUCAUAAGCCCUAUUUCUUCAGUCUUGUCUUCUCCAUUAUCCACUGAUGCUUCCAUUGCUUCAGCCUCUACACAAUCCAAGUGCAUGCCAUAAUCGCAGUCUGUGCAACAGUAGCACCAGCAUCCCUUGGCGAUGCUCUCCCAGCACAUGUCGGAUCAGGCUCUAUUCUUGCGUCUGGGAAUAGCACAAUGUGAGGGUGCUCGUGGUCCUUGCGCUUUGCCCUUGUCACCAAGUCGGUGCACUCCACAUAGAGAUCGUAUUGGUGGAUCGAGCAGUUGUAGGAGGAUGUGUCCCCGUCAUCUCCACAUGCGUCACAAGUGAACUCUCUCCCCUCGUAAGGUGGCGAGAGGAGGAAAUGAAGCGGGUACUCAGGGUGCAACUCAUGAUGAAUAGUUCUCAUUGGUUGUCGCUGUCCACCACUGUCUGGUAAUGCUUUUGGUACUUUGAUAGACCCAUGUUAUUGGGUUGCUGGGACGACGGUGCCCUGAAGGUUGGUGUAGGGAAGUUGGUAGCAGGGGAUUGGUGCUCUUCGAUAGCCUCCACAUUUGGUUGCUUUGCCAACAUCCCGAAACUCGAUGGCCUGGUGAUGUCCUGAGCCGGUUAUUGGUGCUCGAGGUAGAAGGAGAAGAGUGAGGCUGCAUAGCUCACGUGUGGGAGAAUGAUCUCCUGAAGCGGGAGAGGGUUGUUGGUACAAUGGACAUGGAGGUCGAAGUCGCACGGCACACAAGAGUAAGAGAUGCCGGUGCAAGGGUGGCAAGGGCAGCAGAGGAAGGAGGCAGAGGGGUAGGCUGGGGAGGACAUUAGAAUGAGGGGGGUGGGAAUGGUGGUGGACAGGACGCUUCGCAUGGAAGCAGUGCAAAUGAAGGAAGUAGCUGCACUAGAUGCAGGCGAAGACGUCCAAUGGCGCUUCGACCUGGGAUUCGCAUUCGAAGCAUUGAAUCGGAUGGUCAAGCCCUUAUUGAAAGGGUUGGCAAAGGAUCAGGUUGUGUGGAUGGCUGAAAUGCUUGUGUGACUCCAUCCAUGAAUUAGGCUGUGUGUGUGUGUGAAAGAGCGAAGGGAGGGAGGAAGGUUGGCUUAUGAAUUCCACUAGGAACUGCUCAUAUAAGCAGGAAAUAGUGGAUGUCGAGGAAUCAAUGGAAAAACAUUGAAUAUUCUCUAAAUGAUGUGUUGGACAGAGUCAAUUACAAUAUACAACACUUAUGUAAAAACUUGUGUUUUUCAGUUGGAUCCAAUGUGAAUUUUAUUAUGUCUUGAUAUGUGAUUGCCAUAAUCUAUUAUACUAACCCUAUAUAAUGCCCUCAGGAAAUUUCCAAGAAAGUCCUAAAUCUAUUGGAUGGCGAUCGAUUGUGUUAUAAAUCUUUCAAUUUCAUUAAUUUAGUCAUAAAUAUUUUGACAAUUUGCAAUGAAGUUUUUCCAACUAAAUAUGACUAGAAAAUCAAUAAUGUGAAUGUCAACUAUCCCAAGCGGCAUAAUCGAUGUUGACGUAAACAACUUUUGUAAUUGAAAAAAAAAAAUAUUUUGAAUUUUGUUUUUCUAUUGUUGAGAUUCUAACUAGUGGGGCCUAAUGCCCUCGCCAGCCACAAGGAAGUGCCUACACGCCCUCACUGGCCAUAGGCGAGUGCCUUUGGGCCUUUAUCAGCUACAAGUGAGGGAGUCACGGCCCUCCCUUGUGGCUAGCAAGGGUCGCAGCCUCACCGGCUCAAAGUUGGAAAAAAAAGGAAAAUAAAAGAAAAGAAGGGAACAUAAAAUUAAAAAUAAAAAAUUAGAAAAAAAAUGAAAAAGCUAUCCACAUCAGCACCAACUAUGCCACAUAGAAUAACUAGUAUACACGUCAGCGAUUUCCAGCCAAUUAAUUGGUAAUCAUCGUGUUUAUAACUAAAUUGGCCAAGUAAUGUUAGUUGUAUUCCUUUUUUGGCGCAUUAAAGGGAAGUGUAUCCAACAUGGCAACCUAUGACAUUACCUAGUAUAUAUAUAUAUAUAUAUCUUGAAGGUGAGGUCCACUAAUUCAGAUCAUUGUAUACAGCUUCUCACCUGCAUGAAGUGGUCGUGGAAAUCAUAGCCCAUGUUGAUCUCUCUCUCUUCUUCAAGUUCAUGCUCAUGCAUGUCAUUGGCAGAGUAGGGUGAUUCUUCCGUUUAAUCGACUCGGUUAUUCCUUAUGAUCACGCUACACUUACAAAUCUAUAAAAAUUGUCCAUUUAUUUUUUGGCAUCAUGUGCCCUUACUUAAAGGGCAAGUCAAGUUGUUUCUUGUUCCACGUAUGCUUUACUAAAAUGGUUAAACUAUACUUUUGAUCCCUGAACUUGAGAGCAAUUUUUUUUCUCCAAUCAAAUGCUCCUCAACUUUUAGCUUGUUUCAUCAAGUUAUGAACUUGUAUAGCUUUUCUAAUCAACUCUCUUCAGCUUCAAAUAUAGUUAAUUGGAUCCGAUAGAUCUUUUUCCAUAAACUAUCACAUCUUUCUCUUGUCUAUUUUCAUCACCUACAUAUUCUUUAUAUUCUCAAUCUUUCUUUGACAUGCUGUUAGGUUUAACCGUCUCAUUUUUGGUACAACUGCAGAUGAGUUUAACCAUCAUGAGGAAUCUAUUGAAUUUUGCUAAAUAAAGGGACCAUUCAUGGAAUAGUCUCACACGCUAGUAUUCCUUUUAGUCUUUUUAUAACAAUGAGAUGUCUGGGGUAGAGCACUCGACUGGUCAUUACUGAGUAUUGUGGUCCUUCAUUCCCCACACAUCAUGGGUAAUCACCGAAAAUACAUGGAUCUGUGCUCCUAGCGGCUCAAGAGAAAAGUGCAAGUGUAGUAAUUUGAACUCAUGUCAUGAGUGAAAAAGAAACACAAAUUUACCACUUAAGCAACGCCUUGGAUUUAAAUCUGGAGAUUAUUCUAAAUUGAAUGAAUAUGAGACAUAGCAUAGUCUAAAAUGGUUAUCAUAGCAUGUGAGACAUAUUUGAAUACACAGACAAAAUUUUAGCAUAAUAUUUAGUUGGUGCGUUUCAUCGUUCUGAUUCUACAAUAUAGGAGUGAUUUUUACAACUCUAUAUAAUGAGUCGAGUGAAUCUAAUUCUAGUAUAAACUAUAUAUAUUUACUUAUAGGUCUUGUUUAUAAAUGUAAUUAUAGCCUCCUAUUAGGGAAGUGUUUUACUUCCUAUUGGUGGACAAGUCGGGCUUUAGGAAUAUGCCAGAACUCCAAUCUGCACACACGAAACAGGUCGAAGUGUUCGAAUAUUUUAUCUAGAUUGGCGCUCCAAUAUUUAAGUUAGGUAGGGAAGAAUAUGUGCAGAUACUGAGCUUAAAAGGAAGAUGAUAAGCUAAAUACUAUAAACUUUACUUGAGUCCCUUGGCAGUAUUUAUAGACAAGCUUACCCUGGCGGGUGAAUGGUCGCUAACAUAGGUGAUGGCUUGCUUGGACAGGGAGGUCUUUGACAUGCCAGGUGGGUCACUUACAAUUUUACAAAUGGGUGGAAAUUAGUCUAUGGGGAAAUUAGUCUAUGAUAUUUGAGCCCAACUCUUUAUGGGGUCUAUAUGGAUUUGCACAAGGCCCAUAUUCAACCCAUUUAGUUUAUCAGCUCCAACCCAUAAUUUGAGACGAAGAAACUUCUUCGGCUGCAAGAAGAGCACACUUGGCUAUUACAUCCUACGUCACGAACACUUCUGACUCUUGCAAGUUAAGUCUUAAAGAGUUGAUAAUUGGAAAAUAUAAUUGAAAGGAAGAAACAAAAAAGUUUAAUGUAUGUUAUUCACAAGAUAAAAGGGAAAAUAAUAGUGUUAUACUUAAGUGAACCUUAAAACCUUAAAAGGUCAUGUUAGCAUCGAAUCAAAGCUUGAACGAGAUUCAUAAUUUAUGGAAGGACUUUUACCACCACCUUCACACCUCCGUCCAUGACUGACGCUCAAGCUCCCUCACUAACUCGACGAGUCAGUCCAUGGAGCUGCCCAUUCUUCGAAUGCAACAAUUUAGAAAAAAAAAAUUAUUAAAAAUAGAUCAUGAUCGGGUUGGGCACAGGUUGUCGAAUAUAUACUUUAUGUAAAUUAGUCAAUUUUGGCUGAAUUUCGACUUAACCCAAAAAACCCGUUUGACGGGUGUACAUAGACCAAUGGGCACUAGAAUUUUGAGUAGCGGACAAACCAUUGCUCCCCCUAGUGGAUUUAUGCAAGGUGGUGGUCUUGUCGAGGGACGACCCGUCAAUUGCGAUGGACGCGCCUCGUUAUCAAAGGCUCACCUUGACCCGUUGGACAAGGCAUGUAACAUGUUGGAUCAGAUAAGGACAUGUAGUGUGGGUCCGAUAAUGAGCUAAAUCCGGAAUUGGUUUUUUUUUUUUUUUAAUUAUCCCACAUCAUGUGUUAUCAGGAAAUAAGAGCAAGUUGAAUAGAUGAAACGGAUCGACGCUCCUACGACUUUUCACAUGUGAGCUGUCUCGCUCAUGCCACUGUCUAAAGAAGAAGCCGGAUCAUUGACUUGACUGAAACUCUCGCACUUCUUCAAUGAAAUGCAUCUGCCAACUGCACCUUGUUUACAUUUCUAACUAGCUAUAUACCUGCGGAUUUAAAUACGUGCCGAGUCAUUUUACAAUUACAAAGAAUCUUUUGAAUAAAAAUGUGAUUUUGUUAAUAUAAUAGUACAAUUUAGGAAUGAUUUGUACAACUCUAUAUAAUGAGUCGCAUGAAUCUAAUUCUAAUUACUUAUAGGUCUUGUUUAUAAAUGUAAUUAUAGCCUCCUAUUAGGGAAGUGUUUUAACUUCCUAUUGGUGGACAAGUCGAUCUUGAGGAGUCUGCCGGAACUCCAGUCUACACACACAAACACGGGUUGAAGUGUUCGAAUAUUUUAUCUACAUUGGCGGUCCGAUAUCUAAGUUAGUUAGGGAAGAAUAUGUGCAGAUACUGAGGUUAAAAGGGUGAUUAUAAGCUAAAUGCUAUAAACUUUACUUGAGUCCCUUGGCAGUAUUUAUAGACAAGCUUACCCUGGCGGGUGAAUGGUCGCUAACAUAACGUCAUUUGGUUGAGACAGGUGACGGUUUGCUUGGACAUGUGACGACUUUGACAUGCCAGGCGGGUAACUUACAAUUUUACAAAUGGGUGGAAAUUAGUCUAUGAUAUUUGAGCCCAACUCUAUAUGGGAUCUAUAUGGGUUUGCACAACCCAUUUCGUUUAUCAGCUCCAACCCAUAAUUUGAGACGAAGAAACUUGUUCGGCUGCAAGAAGAGCACCACUUGGCUAUUGUAUCCUACAUCACGAACACUUUUGACUCUUGUAAGUUAAUUCUUAAAGAGUUGAUGAUUGGAAAAUAUAAUUGAAAGGACGAAAGGACGAAACUAAAUGUACAUUAUUCACAAGAUAAAAGGGAAAACAAUAGCGUUAUACUUAAGUGAACCUUAAAACCUAAAAAGGUCAUGUUAGCAUCGAACCAAAGCUUGAACAUGUUUCAUAAUUUAUGGAUGGACUUUUACCACCAUCUUCACACCUCCGUCCAUAACUGACGCUCAAGCUCCCUUGCUUACUCGAUGAGUUAGGCCAUAGAGCUUCCCAUUCUUCAAAUGCAACAAUUUAAUUAAAAAAUAUUACAAAUAGAUCAUGAUGGGUCGGUCACAAGUUGCCGAAUUUAUACUUUAUGUAAAUUAGUCAAUUUUAGCUGAAUAUUUUUUACUCAACCCAACAAACCCAUUUGACGGGUGUACAUAGACCAAUGGGCACUGGAAUUUUGAGUAGCGGACGAGCCAUUGCUCCCUCCUGUGGAUUUAUGCAAGGUGGAGGUCUCGUUGAGGGAUGACCCGUCAAGGGCAAUGGACACGCCUCAUUAUCAAAGGAUCGCCUUGCCCCGUUGGACAAGGCAUGUAACAUGUUAGAUUAGGUAAGGACAUGUGAUGUGGGUCCAAUAAUGAGCUGGGCACUGGAAUUUUGAGUAGCUGACGAGCCAUUGCUCCCUCCAGUGGAUUUAUGCGAGGUGGAGGUCUCGUCGAGGGAUGACCCAUCAAGGGCAAUGGACACGCCUCAUUAUCAAAGGAUCGCCUUGCCCCGUUGGACAAGGCAUGUAACAUGUUAGAUCAGGUAAGGACAUGCGAUGUGGGUCAAAUAAUGAGCUGGGCACUAGAAUUUUGAGUAGCGGACAAGCCAUUGCUCCCUCCAGUGGAUUUAUGCGAGGUGGAGGUCUCGUCGAGGGAUGACCCGUCAAGGGCGAUGGACACGCCUCAUUAUCAAAGGAUCGCCUUGCCCCGUUGGACAUGGCAUGUAACAUGUUAGAUCAGGUAAGGACAUGCGAUGUGGGUCAAAUAAUGAGCUGGGCACUAGAAUUUUGAGUAGCGGACAAGCCAUUGCUCCCUCCAGUGGAUUUAUGCGAGGUGGAGGUCUCGUCGAGGGAUGACCCGUCAAGGGCGAUGGACACGCCUCAUUAUCAAAGGAUCACCUUGCCCCAUCGGACAAGGCAUGUAACAUGUUAGAUCAGGUAAGGACAUGUGAUGUGGGUCCAAUAAUGAGCUAGGCACUGGAAUUUUGAGUAGUGGACGAGCCAUUGCUCCCUCCAGUGGAUUUAUGCGAGGUGGAGGUCUCGUCGAGGGAUGACCCAUCAAGGGCGAUGGACAUGCCUCAUUAUCAAAGGAUCACCUUGCCCCAUCAAACAAGGCAUGUAACAUGUUAGAUCAGGUAAGGACAUGUGAUGUGGGUCCAAUAAUGAGUUGGGCAUUGGAAUUUUGAGUAGCGGACGAGCCAUUGCUCCCUCCAGUGGAUUUAUGCGAGGUGGAGGUCCCGUCGAGGGAUGACCUGUCAAGGGCGAUUGACACACCUCAUUAUCAAAGGAUCACCUUGCUCCAUCGGAUAAGGCAUGUAACAUGUUAGAUCAGGUAAGGACAUGUGAUGUGGGUCCAAUAACAAGAUUUUUAAUGAAGAUUCUUGCAUCGAUGACAUCAACAUGUCAUACUACGGAAGAUCCUAUUGCCCGCUAGUAUAUAUUCGCGAAUUGUUUCGAAACGACAUCCUAAGAAAACCGAAAGAGAGCUGAGAGCACUUUGCUACAAAUCUUCAUGGACCUUCCCAAUAUAGAUAAGGUUUUGUCCAGGUCAUUCUCAUGCUUGACUACCAUCAUUCUUUUGCUAGGGAGUGCCCUAACUUUAGUAGAAGCUGGAGGGAACGAGACUGAUUGGCUGGCUUUGUUGGAAUUUAAGGCCCAAAUAACUGAUCUCGACGAGGUUUUGAGCUCGUGGAAUGAUUCUAGCCACUUCUGCGAGUGGUACGGUGUCACAUGCGGUCGUAGACACCAAAGAGUCUCGGUGUUGGACCUCAGCUCCAAGAACUUGAUCGGGGUCUUGCCGCCUCAUAUUGGUAACCUGAGCUUUUUGAGGGAAGUUUAUCUACAAAACAAUAGUUUUCAUGCCAAAAUUCCCCCACAUUUUGGCCGAUUGUUUCGAAUGCAAAAAUUGCGCCUUAACAACAACUCGUUUAGUGGUCAAAUCCCUUCGAAUCUCUCCUAUUGCUCUAAUCUGCUCCUUCUUAACUUAGGCUUCAACAUGCUCAAAGGAAAUUUGCCGAUAGAACUGGGCUCAUUGUCCAAGCUCCAAGUACUUAUACUUCAAGUCAACAGCUUGAUGGGAAACAUCCCGCCGUCUAUUGGAAACUUAUCAUCUCUUCAAAAGUUCGGAAUAUCGUGGAAUAACUUCGGUGGUACGAUCCCAAAGACUCUUGGCCAGCUGAGAAAUCUAAAGGGGUUUAGUCUCACCGGAAAUAAAUUUAUCGGUACAAUUCCUAUCUCAAUCUUCAAUAUAUCCACUCUGACAAGUCUUGGUGUAGGUGAAAACCAAUUAGAAGGGGGUUUACCUAAUGACUUAGGCUUCACUCUUCCGAAUAUUGAGUUUAUUUUUAUGUAUCAAAACCACUUCACUGGACCCAUUCCUGAGUCAAUAUCCAAUGCCUCUAACCUCAAGCUAAUCCAAAUUGACCAGAACAAUUUUACUGGGAAAGUUCCUUCUUUUUCAAACAAAAGAGGACUCUAUUGGUUUAAUAUUCGCCUCAACAACUUAGGAGGUGAACAAUCUACUGAUUUGGACUUCCUUUGCUCUUUAACCAAUUCCACAAAAUUGAUAUAUUUGAGUAUAGGGGAAAAUGCUUUUCGAGGACUAAUACCCGACUGUAUCAGCAACCUCUCGACCACCCUUUCCACAUUUUCGUUAAAAUGCAACCAUAUUUCUGGUACCUUACCUUCUGGAAUCGGAAAUCUCAUCAAUUUGGAGGGCUUGUCUAUGUGGAGCAAUAACAUCUCAGGAAACAUUCCUUCUGAGAUCGGAAAUCUGAACAAAUUGAAGAUUUUGGAACUCAGCCAAAAUAAAUUAUCGGGGAAAAUAUUGGAAUCAUUUGGGAAUUUAAGUUUGUUAAUCCAAUUGUACUUGGACAACAAUAAUUUUCGGGGCUCGAUACCAUCGUCUCUUAAAAAUUGCCAAAAUCUACUUCUCUUAGACCUUUCGACCAACAACCUCAGCGGUCAUGUACCCCCGGAAAUUAUGGGCAUCUCAUCUUUGUCGAUUUACCUUGACUUGUCUCAAAAUAAUCUUACUGGCCCCAUUCCAGAAGAAGUUCGAAAAUUGAAAAAUCUUGGCACACUAUAUCUUAACGGGAACAGAUUAUCUCAACAGAUUCCAAGCAGUAUAGGCAGUUGUAUAAGCAUGGAACGCCUAUAUGUACAGGAUAACUUCUUUGAAGGGCCCCUACCAUCCAUUAUGAGUUCCAUGAGAGGCCUUCAGGUUUUGAAUGUUUCCAACAACCAAUUGUCUGGCCAAAUCCCGAAAUUUCUAGAGUCGCUAAAUCUGACGAAUUUGAGCCUAUCUUACAAUGAUUUCGAGGGUGCAUUGCCUACAGGAGGAGUUUUCAAAAGUGUCAUUUCAACUUCGGUCGUUGGAAACAAGAAGCUUUGCGGGGGUCUCCCAGAUUUUCAACUACCCAAAUGCUACUACAAAGAGUCAAAAUGGACGAGAAUAAGCGGAAUUGCAAAAAUUCUUAUAUCUAUAGUCUCUGCUCUUGUUGGAGUAGCCUGCAUACUGUCUUUGUUAUACUUCUUCUGGUUUAGACACAAUAAGAAUGCAUUAGCUUCAAGCUCUUCUGAAGACGGGCUUUUGCAUGUUUCUUAUCACAAUCUACUAAAAGCGACACGUGGAUUCUCCUCCACCAAUCUGCUUGGUGUGGGCAAUUUUGGGUCCGUGUACAAAGGGCUACUUGAUCAAACUCAGUCGGUUGUGGGCCAUCAAGAUUCUCGACCUUACAUGUGAUGGAGUUCGAAGAGCUUCAUAGCCGAGUGCGAGGUGUUGAGAAGAAUCCGACACCGUAUCUCGUGAAGGUACUCACGGCAUGUCUGGGUGUGAUUUUGUGGAAUGAUUUCAGGCACUUGUCUACGAAUUCAUGUCAUACGGAGGCUUGGAUGAGUGGCUGCACCCGAUUGCAUCACAACAUACGGAGAGAAACAAGUUGAGUCUACUUGAGAGAGUGAAUAUUGCAAUCGAUGUUGCUUGUGCACUAGAUUAUCUCCUUCAUCACUGUGAAAUGCCGAUAGCUCAUUGUGAUCUAAAGCCAAGUAAUGUCCUUCUUGAUAAUGAAAUGAAUGGACAUGUAGGCGAUUUUGGGCUUGCUAGGUUCCUUCCAGAAGCAACACAUAAGUUGCUAGCAGAUCAAUCGAGCUCUGUCGGAGUAAAGGGAUCUUUUGGCUACGUAGCUCCAGGUAAUGAAGCAUACCUUGGGUCAUUCAGUUUGUUUCUUUGAACACAUAAUUGUAGAUAGAUCCUUAAAGAAAAAAAGGCAUAGACAUAAAACGUCACCGAGAAUAUAUUUCAAACUUAAUCAUUCACCUUGCAUCAAUACAUUGUUGAUUGUUGUAGAGUAUGGCAUGGGAAGAGUGGUAUCUACAGAAGGAGAUGUGUAUAGCUUUGGAGUCCUCAUUUUGGAGAUGUUCACAAGCAAGAGGCCGAUUGAUGACAUGUUUGAAGAUGGGUUGGACCUUCAUCGCUUCACAAAGGCAGCUUUGGCAGACCGAGUGGAGAAGGCAAUUGAUCCCAUUUUGCUUCAAGAAAUCGAGGAGUUGGAGAAGAGACGAACAAUUGCUCCAGAGGGCAAGAACAAGAGCUGGUGUAGUAUCAAGGAUUGUUUG
rnacentral:lncRNA from 1 species